UCAAUCUCGUGCGGCUAGGAGCCGCCUGUCCCUCUAAGAAGAUUCAUGUGUACGCCGGCAGUAAAAACCGCGAACACCCGACCGGACGAACGGGGCGAGCCUUCGAGAUGCCGGAAAGUAACGCCUAGUUAGCAGGCUAGAGUCUCGUUCGUUAU
rnacentral:rRNA from 1 species